rnacentral:tRNA from 1 species
GUCCCCAUCGUCUAGAGGCCCAGGACAUCGGCCUUUCACGCCGGCAACGCGGGUUCGAAUCCCGCUGGGGACG